AGGUCGUUCCGCGGAGGCACUGCGCCACUCCAAGUCCAUUCAUGAGUACGGUUGUACAGACUUGGCCCACAGAGGGUGAAAGGCCCGUGGGGGUGGUGUUCCAGAUAUGUCAAGUGUCUCUCUGGUAAAGACCUUGGAGUCGGGUUGUUUGUGAAUGCCACCCAAAGUGGGUGGUAAACUCCAUCCAAGGCUAAAUACUUGCACGAGUCCGAUAGCGAACAAGUACCGUGAGGGAAAGUUGAAAAGUACUUUGAAGAGAGAGUAAACAGUGCGUGAAACCGCUCAGAGGUAAACGGGUGGAGUUGAACUGCGAGCCCAGAGAAUUCAGCUGGUGAGUGUGGUCUGAGCUUGUUCAGGUUGGCUGUACACUGGAGUCUGCGAAGUAGCGGGUCUCCUCCUUCGGGUGGAGAUGUGCGAUACACCUUGAGAAGUGUUGCGCGCUUCAGUUGUAUACGGGCCUGCUUGCCAGUGCAUUUUCUCUGGGUGUUCACCACGACCGGCACUGCUGUCUGGCUGUUGUGGUUAAACCGUUCUUGCUUAGUCCUUGUGGCUUUGCUUGGUCGGGACGGCAGGUAACUUGUUGGCUAGUCUUUUGACCUGCCUUCGGGUGUAAUCAGCUGACCAUAAUGGUUCUGUGCAGUGUGUCGGAGACGGCGGCUUGUGGUGUGAGCGCGCGUGCCUUGUCUACUGACUUGGUUGGGUCUGGUUGCUCUGUUGCUUGUUCUCAAGCCUAGCGAUGGCCUGACUUUGUUUGGUGGGCGGUUGCGUGUGUGACACUAUCCAGGGCCA
rnacentral:rRNA from 1 species